rnacentral:rRNA from 1 species
UACAGAGGGGGCAAGCGUUGUUCGGAAUUACUGGGCGUAAAGGGCGCGUAGGCGGCCUUCUAAGUCGAACGUGAAAUCCCCCGGGCUCAACCCGGGAACUGCGUCCGAUACUGGCAGGCUUGAAUCCGGGAGAGGGAUGUGGAAUUCCAGGUGUAGCGGUGAAAUGCGUAGAUAUCUGGAGGAACACCGGUGGCGAAGGCGGCAUCCUGGACCGGUAUUGACGCUGAGGCGCGAAAGCGUGGGUAGCAAACAGG